rnacentral:rRNA from 1 species
UGGGGAAUUUUGGACAAUGGGGGCAACCCUGAUCCAGCAAUGCCGCGUGUGUGAAGAAGGCCUUCUGGUUGUAAAGCACUUUUGUCCGGGAAGAAAUCGCACCUGAUAAUACCGGGUGUGGAUGACGGUACCGGAAGAAUAAGGACCGGCUAACUACGUGCCAGCAGCCGCGGUAAUACGUAGGGUCCAAGCGUUAAUCGGAAUUACUGGGCGUAAAGCGUGCGCAGGCGGUUGUGCAAGACCGAUGUGAAAUCCCCGGGCUUAACCUGGGAAUUGCAUUGGUGACUGCACGGCUAGAGUGUGUCAGAGGGGGGUAGAAUUCCACGUGUAGCAGUGAAAUGCGUAGAGAUGUGGAGGAAUACCGAUGGCGAAGGCAGCCCCCUGGGAUAACACUGACGCUCAUGCACGAAAGCGUGGGGAGCAAACAGG